CCCAGUGGUAGUCAGCUGUCUAGUGCCAAUCUUUGUCUAUGACAGUGUUACACUGCUGGAAGAAGAAGACACUGCCAAUUUAUACUGCUGCCCCAGUCACUGUUCUGGUGGCCCGGGGUAUAGGUAUGGGGCAGUGUCGUGUUUCCUUGAGAGUGCGACAAACUUUAAUCCGUGAGUUUGCUGCUAGUCUGGAAACAUACAAU